rnacentral:rRNA from 1 species
UACGUAGGGAGCAAGCGUUGUUCGGAUUUACUGGGCGUAAAGGGCGCGUAGGCGGCAAAUCAAGUCAGCUGUGAAAUCUCCGGGCUUAACUCGGAACGGUCAGCUGAUACUGCUUUGCUAGAGUGCAGAAGGGCAAUCGGAAUUCUUGGUGUAGCGGUGAAAUGCGUAGAUAUCAAGAGGAACACCUGAGGUGAAGACGGGUUGCUGGGCUGACACUGACGCUGAGGCGCGAAAGCGUGGGGAGCGAACAGG